GACGGAGGGUGCAAGCGUUAAUCGGAAUUACUGGGCGUAAAGAGUAUGUAGGUGGUAAAUUAAGUUGGCUGUGAAAUCUCGAGGCUCAACCUCGAAAUUGCAUCCAAAACUGGUUUGCUUGAGUAUGGUAGAGGAAAGAAGAAUUCUCGGUGUAGAAGUGAAAUGUUUAAAUAUCGAGAGGAAUAUCAAUGGCGAAGGCAUCUUUCUGGACCAAAACUGACACUGAGAUACGAAAGCGUGGGUAGCAAACAGG
rnacentral:rRNA from 1 species